CGAAAGGGCAUUUUCUGCUACUAGCUAUUGUGCGAAGAUGUAGGUGUUGUUGGCCUUACACUUCGUCCUGGUGCCUUUGUUUCGCGCACCAGUUAUAGAUCGCUGGUUUUUCCCCUUGGGAAACUGAAUUUUCUUUCCUUAGGGAAAUGGUUUCACUUUUUCUCUACUUAUGCGAAGGACCACCCAAAGCUUUGGGACAAAUGAAAUAUACGAGAAGAACGUUUUUACUAAGUCUAUUUACCAAAAACAAUUACAAUAACGAAAUUUUGGACGCCGAUAGCUUGCUUGCAAUAGCUCAAUAAACACACUAUGAGCACGAAAACAAAAAGAAUUGGCACUAGUUACUGAACACGUAUUAAAGAAUCCGGUUUGCGCUGAACCGAGAGCGUUGAGCUCCAACUUUUCGACUGCUCCGUCUCGCAGUUGCAACUGUACUGUCUCUCGAACACAAGAACACCCCUCAACCCCUAUUCAUCGCAACCGUUUUUUGACCUUCAAAAUUUCCUUUUUUGGUUAAAGUUUACGUCAGCCGUCUUUCUCAUGAAAUGGCCUGGUUGGAAAUUUUGGAUACCAAAGACUGAAAGAUAAAAAUUUCUAACUGUGUACUGUCAUUGUUAUAAUUCUUAAGAACGCAUUAGGAUUAUAUUUAGAAAGUUAGUUUCCAAGCAAGUACCGGCAUCCGUAAAGAUAAUUAAAUUUUAGGAAAAUUAGGAAAGUAAAUCUUAAAACUAAUAUACAGCGUGAGCGAAAUUAAACUAAAUUUAAACAGUGUUGUUUAGCAACAGCUAUAUUGCCUCUAAUAUACGCAGUAGUUUGGCAGACGACAGUUUAGAUAUGUUGUGUCCUUCGCAAACAUUUUCAAUUGAAAGCUUUAGCUAAAUAAUGAAACCUAUAGCUAAGUAAUAUAGCAACUAAAUAAGUAAAGUAAACUAUGUCAAUUUUUAGUUGAAAAUGUGUUUUUCUUGUUAAUUUUUAAAAAUUUGUGUAUUUUUUUAAGAAAAUAGAUUUUUUGUUUUUUCAGUAUUUGUUACUGUUUUUUGUGAAGAAUAAACGGUGUAAUUUGAUUGAUCUCAUACUAAUAGUAAUACUUAAAUAAAUGUGGAGUUAGUUGAUUAAUUCAUUGUUUUGUUUGCCUUAUAUAAAUAUGACUAUUUUCAAAAAGCGGAAUCUCGCAAAUACCGAGACCCCGUGGAUUGAAAAUUGGUAUUCCCGUAAAUACCGAGAUUGAACUCAGGCUGCGGGAUUGAAAGCCCUAAGUAUAACCGCCAGAAAAUUGCAUGGUUAUAACAGCAAAUCUACUAAGAUAUAAAUUAGAGCUUGAGGGUCAGAUAAUAGAACAAAUAAUGAAGUUUAAAUAUCACGGCAUCUCACUAUCUAGCUACGGAAAGAUGGAAACAGAAAUGGAAGAUCAAGUGAACGACAACUUACUAGAGAGAGGCACAUUGGAAAACAGACUACUAACAGAAAGUCAUGUCUACAAAAAAAA
rnacentral:lncRNA from 1 species